rnacentral:rRNA from 1 species
CACGUAGGCACCAAGCGUUGUCCGGAUUUAUUGGGCGUAAAGAGCUCGUAGGCGGUUCGGUAAGUCGGGUGUGAAAACUUUGGGCUCAACCCAAAGCCUGCACCCGAUACUGCUGUGACUUGAGUCCGGUAGGGGAGUGGGGAAUUCCUGGUGUAGCGGUGGAAUGCGCAGAUAUCGGGAAGAACACCUGUGGCGAAGGCGGCUCUCUGGGACGGUACUGACGCUGAGACGCGAAAGCGUGGGGAGCAAACAGG